CCACACUGCCCCGUACUGUCCCAUACUGGUCUGUACUGGUCCGUACUGGUCCAUACUCACGCAGGCAGCGGUCGCAGCGUCCCGCUCCGUGGCGCUGGCAGGAGCUGUGAGCGUGGCAGCCGCACGGCACCAACCACUGGGACACACUGGUCCUUACUGGUCCCAUACUGGU
rnacentral:lncRNA from 1 species